rfam:Brachypodium distachyon strain Bd21 chromosome 1, whole genome shotgun sequence.
CAAGUACUCUCUCCAUCCAACAAAGGAUGUCUCAAGUUUCUCAAAAUAUGAAUGUAUCUAGAGUUCUAGACAUAACUUAGUAUAUGCAUGCAUUCAAAUUUAGUGAAAGUUGAGACAUCCUUUGUUGGACGGAGGAGGUACUAG